AGUCUUCCACCAUUACUGGCGGAGCACCUUUACAACAUUCACAGCUAACCCUCUGCUCUUUUAAAGGUUGCCAGGAAAAUUGUAGCCUGAGCCAAGAAAUUCUGGCUCCUUCCUCUCCCUCAUCAUCAAGGGAAACAGCAGAGAAAGCCACAGGGGAGGGCUUUGGUGAUGCGUGUGUGCGGUGUCAUGAUGCCAAAUUCAUCCUUCACAUAAGCAA